rnacentral:rRNA from 1 species
GACGAACGCUGGCGGCGUGCCUAAUACAUGCAAGUAGAACGCUGAAGGAGGAGCUUGCUUCUCUGGAUGAGUUGCGAACGGGUGAAUAACGCGUAGGUAACCUGCCUGGUAGCGGGGGAUAACUAUUGGAAACGAUAGCUAAUACCGCAUAAUAGUAGAUGUUGCAUGACAUUUGCUUAAAAGGUGCAAUUGCAUCACUACCAGAUGGACCUGCGUUGUAUUAGCUAGUUGGUGGGGUAACGGCUCACCAAGGCGACGAUACAUAGCCGACCUGAGAGGGUGAUCGGCCACACUGGGACUGAGACACGGCCCAGACUCCUACGGGAGGCAGCAGUAGGGAAUCUUCGGCAAUGGACGGAAGUCUGACCGAGCAACGCCGCGUGAGGGAAGAAGGGUUUCGGAUCGUAAAGCUCUGUUGUAAGAGAAGAACGAGUGUGAGAGUGGAAAGUUCACACUGUGACGGUAUCUUACCAGAAAGGGACGGCUAACUACGUG